UACGGAGGGGGCUAGCGUUGUUCGGAAUUACUGGGCGUAAAGCGCACGUAGGCGGCUUUGCAAGUCAGAGGUGAAAGCCCGGGGCUCAACCCCGGAAUUGCCUUUGAGACUGCAUCGCUAGAAUUGUGGAGAGGUAAGUGGAAUUCCGAGUGUAGAGGUGAAAUUCGUAGAUAUUCGGAAGAACACCAGUGGCGAAGGCGGCCAACUGGACGAGUACUGACGCUGAGACACGAAAGCGUGGGGAGCAAACAGG
rnacentral:rRNA from 1 species